AGCGCUUCCUUCUGGGAUUGGAGCUCACCAGCAUUUGAAAACUUUGCUUUUAGAAAGAAAUCCUAUCAAAAUGUUACCUGUGGAGCUGGGGAGCGUAACCACGCUGAAAGCACUGAACCUAAGACACUGCCCUCUGGAAUUCCCUCCUCAGCUCGUUGUGCAGAAGGGAUUGGUGGCUAUCCAGCGCUUCCUGCGGAUGUGGGCAGUAGAACACUCUCUCCCCAGAAAUCCAACUUCUCAAGGUUUGUAGGAGGUGAUUUAUGACAAAUCACAUUAACGUUGAAGUUACAGCUUUUUAAAAUCAGGGCAGAACCUGUCUUCUCUUUAAUAACAUCCUGAGAAAUACAGGAGCCAUGGGUCCUCUGCUGAGUUGACACAGUGUACACUGAUCUCAGGCCGACCCAGUCAUCUCUGUGACUUUUCCUUGGUUCUAUAAAUCUGGGCACAUUAUAGAUCCUG
rnacentral:lncRNA from 1 species